GGAAGAAAGAACUAACCAGGAUUCCCUUAGUAACGGCGAGUGAACAGGGAAAAGCCCAGCACCGAAGCCUGUGGUCGUUUGGCCCCUAGGCAAUGUGGUGUUCAGGUUAGCUCGCGAAGAUGCUGCUCCACCCUAAGUCCUAUAAUGAGUAAGGUUACUCGGACAUGGCCCAAUGAGGGUGAAAGGCCCGUGGGGGUGGAGAUUCAGAAUGGCCAGUAUCUUCCUGAGCGGACCUUGGAGUCGGGUUGUUUGUGAAUGCAGCCCAAAGCGGGUGGUAAACUCCAUCCAAGGCUAAAUACUAGCACGAGUCCGAUAGCGAACAAGUACCGUGAGGGAAAGUUGAAAAGUACUUUGAAGAGAGAGUAAACAGUGCGUGAAACCGUUCAGAGGUAAACAGGUGG
rnacentral:rRNA from 1 species